rnacentral:RNase_P_RNA from 1 species
CGAGUAAGCCGGGCAGUCGCGUGUGCAGCGCCGAAAGGCCGCGCACGAGGAAAGUCCGAGCUCCAUAGGGCAAGGAUAACGGGUAACGCCCGCCGGAGGCGACUCCAGGAAUAGUGCAACAGAGAUAUACCGCCUGGUGGCUGCCGGCGACUUUGCCGGCGGCCGUCCGGGUAAGGGUGGAAAGGCGAGGUAAGAGCUCACCGGCGCCCGGGAGACCGGGCGGCCCUGUAAACUCUAUCCGGAGCAACACCGCUCAGUGGGACGCAAGGCUGGCCCGGCCGUCCCCACAGGUGGCUGGAGCCAUGCGGCAACGCGUGGCCUAGAUAGAUGACUGUUCAAGACAGAACUCGGCUUACAGACUUACUCGCCGG